ensembl:lncRNA
AGUAUAUGUUGUGAGCGUGCUUCAGAUCUCCGGAGAUAGCACAGUACGCUGUGUCCAGCCCAGAGGUGAAAGCCAUCCAAAGCAGAGUAACUGUGCUUUGCGUCCAAGUUGAUACCUGUGGAGAGGAAAGGAAAGAGAGAGUGAAUAACACGAGGAGGAAUAGAGCGAACCCUGUACUUACAGUAUGCUGUGUCCAGCCCAGAGGUGAGAGCCAUUCAAAGCAAACUAACUGUGCUAUUGUGCCCAAGUUGAUACCUGUGGAGAGAAAAGGAGAGAGAGUGGGUAACACGAGGAGAGAUCGAGGAAACCUGUACUUACGCCGCUGCCUGUGGAGAGAAAAGGAAAGAGAGAGUGAGUAACACAAGGAGAAACAGAGGAAACCUGUACUUACAGUACGCUGUGUCCAGCCCAGAGGUGAGAGCCAUUCAAAGCAAACUAACUGUGCUAUUGUGCCCAAGUUGAUACCUGUGGAGAGAAAAGGAGAGAGAGUGGGUAACACGAGGAGAGAUCGAGGAAACCUGUACUUACGCCGCUGCCUGUGGAGAAAGAGAAAGCGACCGUUGCCUGUGGAGGAAGAGAAAGAGACCGUUGCCUGUGGAGGAAGAGAAAGAGAGUGAGCACCCCGAGAACGAACUGUGUGAACCAGUACUUACCGUGAGCUGUAUUCAGCGAAGAGGAGG